AAACUCUGUUUCUUUAUGUAACUUCUGAGUAUAACCAUAAAUAAAUAAAAACUUUUUACAACGGAUCUCUUGUUUCUGGCAUCUAUGAAAAACGCACCAAAAUGCGAUAAGUAAUGUGAAUUGCAGAAUUCUGUGAAUCAUCGAAUCUUUGAACGCACAUUGCGCCCGCCAGUAUUCUGGCGGGCAUGCCUGUUCGAGCGUCAUUUCAACCCUCAAGCACAGCUUGGUGUUGGGACUCGCGUUAAUUCGCGUUCCUCAAAUUGAUUGGAGGUCACGUCCAGCUUCCAUAGCGUAGUAUUAAAACCCUCGUUACUGGUAAUCGUCGCGGCCACGCCGUUAAACCCCAACUUCUGAAUGUUGACCUCGGAUCAGGUAGGAAUACCCGCUGAACUUAAGCA
rnacentral:rRNA from 1 species